rnacentral:rRNA from 1 species
UACAGAGGUCCCAAGCGUUGUUCGGAUUCACUGGGCGUAAAGGGUGCGUAGGCGGUCGGGUAAGUCUGAUGUGAAAUCUCACAGCUUAACUGUGAAACUGCAUUGGAUACUAUCCGGCUCGAGGAAUGGAGGGGAGACUGGAAUACUUGGUGUAGCAGUGAAAUGCGUAGAUAUCAAGUGGAACACCAGUGGCGAAGGCGAGUCUCUGGACAUUUCCUGACGCUGUGGCGCGAAAGCUAGGGGAGCGAACGGG